rnacentral:rRNA from 1 species
UACGUAGGGACCGAGCGUUGUCCGGAAUCAUUGGGCGUAAAGCGCGUGUAGGCGGUCCGGUAAGUCCGCUGUGAAAGUCGAGGGCUCAACCUCGAAUGCCGGUGGAUACUGUCGGGCUUGAGUACGGGAGAGGCGAGUGGAGUUCCUGGUGUAGCGGUGAAAUGCGCAGAUAUCAGGAGGAACACCGAUUGCGAAGGCAGCUCGCUGGAACGUUACUGACGCUGAGACGCGAAAGCGUGGGGAGCAAACAGG